rnacentral:lncRNA from 1 species
AAACAAAGUUAGCUAUAUCUCUUUUCAUCCCGUUCCACCAAAAUCGGGAUCACAUACUUUGGUACAUUUUAGUAUUUCUGGGAUGCAUGACAAACUUGGAGCUAUGAGCCUCUGUCAUGAUGUCUCUCUUUAACUCACUAUCAUCUGGAACACAACCUGUUCUGCAAUUCAAUGAUCUGUUUUCUCAGUUUCUCCAUCUCGACACGGCUCAUGCGGUAAGGAGCAACCGAAAUAGGCUAGAGGUCUAUGGUGAAUUCGACUUCCUUGUCCAUUGACAUUCUGAGUAGUUCAUCCAAAAACACAUCUGAAAAAUCUCAGACUACCA